rnacentral:tRNA from 1 species
GAACUGGUGGUUCAGUGGUAGAAUUCUCACUUUCCAUCUGGGAGAUCCAGGUUCAAUUCCUGGACAGUGCA